AGGACGAACGCUGGCGGCGUGCUUAACACAUGCAAGUCGAGCGGUGAUCCUCCUUCGGGAGGUGAUCAGCGGCGAACGGGUGAGUAACACGUGGGCAACCUGCCCCUCACACUGGGAUAACCUCGGGAAACCGGGGCUAAUACCGGAUACGACCUCGAGCGGCAUCUCUUGAGGUGGAAAGCUCCGACGGUGAGGGAUGGGCCCGCGGCCUAUCAGCUUGUUGGUGGGUAAUGGCCUACCAAGGCGGCGACGGGUA
rnacentral:rRNA from 1 species